CCUACGGGUGGCAGCAGUGAGGAAUAUUGGUCAAUGGCCGUAAGGCUGAACCAGCCAAGUCGCGUGAGGGAAGACUGUCCUAUGGGUUGUAAACCUCUUUUAUCGGGGGACAAAGGUCUCCACGCGUGGCUGUUCGCAGGUACCCUAUGAAUAAGCAUCGGCUAACUCCGUGCCAGCAGCCGCGGUAAUACGGAGGAUGCGAGCGUUAUCCGGAUUUAUUGGGUUUAAAGGGUGCGUAGGCAGGAGUUUAAGUCAGCCGUGAAAUUUUGUGGCUCAACCAUUAGGGUGCGGUGGAAACUGGAGGCCUUGAGUGCGCGAGAGGUAUGCGGAAUGCGUGGUGUAGCGGUGAAAUGCAUAGAUAUCACGCAGAACCCCGAUUGCGAAGGCAGCAUACCGGGGCGUAACUGACGCUGAAGCACGAAAGCGUGGGGAUCAAACAGGAUUAGAUACCCGGGUAGUC
rnacentral:rRNA from 1 species